GCCUUGUUUAUUAUUUAUAAAAAGUAUUGGGUUACGUUCCAUUUAAUAAGAGUUGCCUUGAAUUUGAUAUGUUUUGACUACACUGAUAGGUUUAUUAAACAGCUAAUUUGCAUAUGCUUGUAUGAUGAAUCAGUGCAUCCGGGUGCAACAAGAGAUAAUUGAGGGUAUGUAAGGUGGAGGGGUGCUUCAUUUUUGUAAUCUUUGAUUUUUUAGGCCAUUUUUCUAUAUUUUAUUUUCACUUUGUCUUUUUCUUCUUAUCUUAGCACCUCAUUAUUAUCUAUGCUUUAUUUCUCAUCCUAUUUUUUCUCUAUUUUUUGUUGUUUUGGCGCUUUAUUUUGCAUAUUGGACUUUCUGCAUACCCCAUCUAUACCCUCAUAACAGAAUAAUUGACUUCAUUCUCGGUGAUAGUUUUUACUGUCAGCCAUACUUUUAAGCAUUCGUUGUCUGCUUUGAUUCAUUGAUUGCUUGACUGUUGGUUUAUUUACCCUCCUGUAUCACAGAGGUUUGUUUUUAUACCGCGGCUGAAAUAUGGAAUUGGAUAAAAUAGCAAGAAAAGAAAUUGUAAAGAAAAUAGAAAAGGGGGUUAGUUGGAGAUAGGAUGUCACAAGUAUGGAAACAAGAUAAAUUGUUGGGGUCGGAAAAUGUAGCCUUAUCGAAAGUACCAAAUGAGCUCAGUAUUAAGGGAUGCCAUCACGAAAAAUCGUGCCGGGAGCUCGAUUUGGUAUUCAGGCUUCUGGAAUUGGCCAAUUCUCACGAUACAAUUUAUACUUUCUACACAACAACUGCUGACGUACGCCACCUUUCAAAAUUAAUCAAAGGCAAACAUGGCAUUCGACGAUCGAGUCCUUUUAUUUUUUUGCCUGUUUGUAUGUAGGCCUUCAAAAGUUUUAUAAUCUUCGCUUGCAGAACCUAUGGUUUGAUUGUAAAAUUUUGAACGUGCGUUUUCUUAUAAAGAAAGCAUAUUUUUCAAUAUAUUUCCUGUGUAGUCAUUUUGAAAUCUGUGGAAGUAACCUAUCAACACACCGUCAUUUUUUUUUUGCUGUUUUUUUUUAUAAUCCAAAUCUUUACUUCUGCACCAUCAGCUACCAUUGGACAUGACUUGUUUAUUUCAGUCUCAAUAGUUUGAUAACUACAUGUACACUUUUGAUGUUUUUUCUGACCAUGUCAAUAUGUUAAAACAUAGUAAUAUGGUUUUACAAGAAGAUAUGAAAAUUUGUAGCAGUUUUGUGCAUGAAUGUCGGUGAAAAUAUGCUCUUGUGUUUUGUUUGAGAGAAAUGAAAAUCAUCCAACAUGUCCAAGAGGCAAUCAAGAUAAUAUUUCGAAAAAGGAAAUAAAACAAAACCAAAACGUCAAAAGACGAACACCAAAACAAAACAAUUUCCGUACACUCAAGACUUGUCAAC
rnacentral:lncRNA from 1 species